GCCUGGGUGGCUCAGUCGGUUAAGUGUCUGACUUCAGCUCAGGUCAUGAUCAUGUGGUUCAUGAGUUUGAACCUCUCCUUGGGCU
rnacentral:tRNA from 1 species